GCCGAGAUAGCUCAGUCGGUAGAGCGCAUUCAUGGUAAGAAUGAGGUCCGGGGUUCGAUUCCCCGUCUCGGCU
rnacentral:tRNA from 1 species